rnacentral:tRNA from 1 species
GGUCCUAUCGUCUAGUGGUUAGGACGGCAGGUUCUCAUCCUGUAAACAUCGGUUCGAUUCCGAUUAGGAUCACAA